rnacentral:rRNA from 1 species
UACGUAGGGUGCAAGCGUUGUCCGGAAUUAUUGGGCGUAAAGAGCUCGUAGGCGGUUUGUCGCGUCGAAUGUGAAAACCCGGGGCUCAACUCCGGGCCUGCAUUCGAUACGGGCAGACUAGAGUGUGGUAGGGGAGACUGGAAUUCCUGGUGUAGCGGUGAAAUGCGCAGAUAUCAGGAGGAACACCGAUGGCGAAGGCAGGUCUCUGGGCCACUACUGACGCUGAGAAGCGAAAGCAUGGGGAGCGAACAGG